rnacentral:tRNA from 11 species
UCAGUGGCCGAGUGGAUAACGCGAUGGCGUUUGAAGCGAAAGGUACUGGGUUCGUAACCCAGAGUGA